UGCUCUCGAGUGCGUAUGCUACGUGUGUAAAAGGAAGCGAAAAGAUGAAAUAAACGAGGGAAAAAAAUAGUCGAAGUAGAGCUCUUACGAUUUUAGUAUUAGGCAUACUGCAUAUUACCUGGAAGAGUUAGUCAAUGAGCAGCUCUUGUCUCUCGUGCAAGCACAAGUAUGGUGCUUAAGAAGCUCAUUGAAAAAGCACCAAACUGAAGUAACUACUGGUGUCAAUAUGAUUGACCAAAACUCUGAAAGGCAGAGUACUCCAGCAUAUGCCAAUGAUAGAAACCACUGAAAGUAUAACUUAUAAAAGAAUAGAUGUAUUCUGCUGUGUAUACCAUUCUUUUGGAAAUGUUUAAGCAUGUUUUCUAUGGUACAUAGACUUUACAUCCUUGUUUGUAUAUUACUGAUGCAACUUUUUAUUAGUUAUGAAUUAUUUUUAAAAUCUUCAAGUAAAAAACUGCCUAUAGAUCAGUCCCAAAAUUUUCAAGUAAAACACCGUCAAAAGAGAAGUUUGUCAUCAUCUGAGAAACAAACACCAUAUAGAACGCUCCUUCAGCAUCCAAGAGUGAUUAAAGCAUGUGAAGGGUUUUGUGCAGCAUCAUCACAAAAAUACAAAGGUAAUUUCAACAGGCUUUUUUCUGGCUACAAACUUGUUCAAGUUCAUACUUUCUUCAGUUCUGGACAAACUCUACCAGAAGAAUUACCUGCACUCAGAUCACCAAUGAUUACCUGUAUGAUAACAAAUCUCUUAUCAAAUAAUCCUAAAGUAAGGUUAUUUGAAGAGAGUAUUUCUUUAUACAAGAAGCUUCAAAAAAGACCCAGUAGUUUAAAAAUAUUCCCACCAACAUCUAGAAAACCUGUUUGCUUUUUAGGAGACCUUACACCUUUUGGAAUCCUUCAACAAAUUGAGCAUGGUGAAUUUUUGAGAGAAGUUUAUAGUCAUAGGCUGAAGAAUACAUCUCCUGAAAAGUUGUUUACCAUACAGACCAUUCCAGAAAAACUUCAGUACCAAAAUUCUCUUGCUUUUGCAGUUGGCUUUCUUACACAGAAACAAUUUAGUCGUAUACAUGUUGGUAAAUCUCUUCCAGAUUUUGCUUCUAGGUCCAUGAAUAAACAUCUUAAUUGUCCUAAAUUAAAUAUGCAUUCUUCACAAGUUGAAAAUGCUAUAAAUUCUGGUCAGUUUAUCUUUAAAGAAGCUCAUCCAUCCACCAAACGUUUAGUUAGCCUUUUUAAUUCUACAGAUAUUAUUAAAUCUUCUUCAUUGGAAAUUCUUCAGUCUACUUUAUCUUACUUGUGCAAUAAAAUCUCUCCUGUUUGUCAUAAGGAUAAACCUUGCAUAAGAAUUACACCCAAGGGGUUAACAGAAACUGUCAGAAUGACUGACAGCUACUUCAAAAAUCUCAUUGUAAACCCCCUGUUUACCGAAAUUUCAAAGUUGUCUACAUUUCCAGCUUUGCAGGGAAUUAUGGAAAGUAUCCACAAUAGUAAAAUAUUUUUCCAUACAUAUUCCUCCAAGCUUUCUUUUCUAUUGUAUUUGCUUCGAACUCUGGGGCUCACAAUUACUGAAAGGCCUGUGUCAGUCAGUCAUUUCAUUUUUGAAGUUUAUGCUAAUAGUGAAGGCUCAAAAUUUUUCCGUAUCCUUUUUAAUGGUGAAGACUUAACAAAUAAAGUGCUCUCUUGUAAGAAUACUGCAGCUUCAUUCUCAAAUCUCUGUCCGCUAAGCAUUUUAAAUAAUUUUAUUACUCAUGGAAUAUUUGAACAAUUUAAAAGUCCAACCUACACAGGAGCAUGUGAGUAGAAUCUUAGCCAUUACUUAUGACUUUUUUUUUUACAUUUCUCAGAGGAUGUGUUUUCUGAACUUGUCCUGUUUGGCAUAAAAGAUCCGUGAGAAAGGAAUACUUUUAGCAAAAGAUUGUGGACAGUUUAGCCCAACUGUAUCUUUUGAUAAACCCUACUUCAUUUUGUCUUGUUUUAGACUAAUAUACCUAGGAAGUGAAAGAGCUUCACUUGAUCUUUCAUUUCUUGUUUGAUAUUUAUCAUUUUUUUAAACUUUAAGAACACCCUCAAAAAGUUCUCAAUUUAUUUACCCAAAUUAGUUUGAUUUUAUUUAUUUAAAAACUAUUUAUUGGUAGCAUUGCCUGCAUGUUAUUUUUAUUAUUUCUUUGUUUAUGUCCAUUAUAUGCAACUGAAGCAUUUAAUUAUUCAAUUUGUGAUAAACUUGAAAAAAUUCAUCCCCGGUGUAAGAAAAAAAUUAUACAUUUCCUCAGACAGAUAGACAGACAGGCAAAUCUUAUUCAGUUUCUCUAUCUUGAAACCUAAAAUAUUUGGAUUUAUAUAUAUAUAUAUAUAUAUAUAUAUUUUACUUCAUGCUUUAUUUUAACUAGUUUUAUUCAGAUAAUUUUAUCUUUUGAUGAAAAAAAAAAAGUAAUUAAAUUAAAAAUAGUAAGAUGUUAAAGUGCAGAUGAACAGAUGUAAUAUGUAUGAAUUUAGCUAAUAAAACUGGAAUAAGUGUGUGUAGGUCUAGUGGUUGUAAAACAAUAUAUUCAGGAUAAUAGAAUUCUAACAUUUGAUUCUUUGUUCAGUUAUUUGUCACAUUGCUUCUAAUUUUCAGAGUGCCAUAUACAGUAGCAGUUAGUCCCUAACCACUAAGCUGACUUCUCAAAUUGAGUUUUGAUUUUAAAUUGUAAUCAUUUUUGUGUUAUUUGUACUGCUCUAGAAAAAAGCAUAUAUGUCAGUCUCAUUUUCUUUGUAUCUUUUCAAUUCGAGAUCUUGUGCCUAUGACAUAAAUAUUCACAAAAUAU